UACGGAGGAUGCGAGCGUUAUCCGGAUUUAUUGGGUUUAAAGGGUGCGUAGGCGGGAUGCCAAGUCAGCGGUCAAAUACGGGGGCUCAACCCCGUCGAGCCGUUGAAACUGGCAGACUUGAGUUGGCGAGAAGUACGCGGAAUGCGCGGUGUAGCGGUGAAAUGCAUAGAUAUCACGCAGAACGCCGAUUGCGAAGGCAGCUUACCGGCGCUCAACUGACGCUGAGGCACGAAAGUGCGGGUAUCGAACAGG
rnacentral:rRNA from 1 species